rnacentral:lncRNA from 1 species
GCGCCAACAGUCCACUCCUUCCUAGUGCUGAGGCCCCCAUCACAUGAGCACAACUGUUUCUUGUGUGUGAUGUGUUGUCCUCUGGCUGUGCACUGCCAAAAAAGACAUCAUUAAAAAAAAUUUAAAUAUAAUGUAAGACCUGCCUUGUCUUAGGAAACGUUUUUCUGGCAGUGGCUCACACCUAUAAUCCCAAUACUCUGGGAGGCUGAGGCAGGAGGACUGCUUGAGCCCAGGAGUUUGGGACCAGCCUGGGCAAGAGGGUGAAACCCUGUCUCUAAAAAUUAGCCAGGCAUGGUGGCUCACACCUGUAGUCUCAGCUCUUAGGGAGGCUGAGGUGGGAGGACUGCUGGAGCCCAGGAGGUGGAGGCUGCAGUGAGCCGAGAUCACACCACUGCACUCCAGCCUGGGCAGCAUGGCAAGACUCUGUCUCGACCAAGAAAAAAACAAAAAAUUAACAGAAGGAAAAACAAAACGGCUUUCUUAUCAAAAAUACACUUUAAGAACAAAUUUAUAAUAUUAAGUUGCUGCAAAAGUAAUUGUGCCUUUUACCAUUGAAAGCAAUGGCAAAUACUGCAAUUACUUUUGCUCCAACCUAAUAUUAUUUUCUAAUGACAAACUUGGAAAUAACUGUCAUUGCUCUCUAAAAAGAACAGCCUAAAAAUAAAGCAGCAGCCCAUUUACUUCUAUGCCAGUUCUUUUAGCAUUUGGUUAUUUAAACCGGCAGUCCCUAACCUUUUUGGCACCAGGGACUGGUUUCACGGAAGACACUUUUUCCACUGACAAGUGUGGGGAUGGUUUGGAGAUGAAACGGUUCCAUCUCAGAUCAUCAGUAUUAGAUUCUCAUAAGCGGGGCAUAACCUAGAUCCUUCUCAUGCGCAGUUCACAACAGGAUUCCACUCCUAUGAGAAUCUAAUGCCACCACUGAUCUGACAGGAGGCGGAGCUCACACAGCAAUGAUAUGACAGGGGCGGAGCUCACAAUAAUGAUAUGACAGGGGGCGGAGCUCACACAGUAAUGAUAUGACAGGGGGCGGAGCUCACACAGUAAUGACAGGGGGCGGAGCUCACACAGUAAUGAUGACAGGGGCAGAGCUCACAGUAAUGCUCUGGCAGGGGGCGGAGCUCACACAGUAAUGCUCUGGCAGGGGGCGGAGCUCACACAGUAAUGCUGACGGGGGUGGAGCUCACACAGUAAUGCUGACAGGGGGUGGAGCUCACACAGUAAUACUCUGGCAGGGGGCGGAGCUCACACAGCAAUGCUCUGACAGGGGGCAGAGCUCACACAGUAAUGCUCUGGCAGGGGGCGGAGCUCACACAGUAAUGCCGACGGGGGUGGAGCUCACACAGUAAUGCUGACAGGGGGUGGAGCUCACACAGUAAUACUCUGGCAGGGGGCGGAGCUCACACAGCAAUGCUCUGACGGGGCAGAGCUCACACAGUAAUACUCUGGCAGGGGGCGGAGCUCACACAGUAAUGCUCUGACAGGGGGCGGAGCUCACACAGUAAUCUCUGGCAGGGGGCGGAGCUCACACAGUAAUGCUCUGCCAGGGGGCGGAGCUCACACAGUAAUGCUCUGCCAGGGGGCGGAGCUCACACAGUAAUCUCUGGCAGGGGGCGGAGCUCACACAGUAAUGCUCUGACAGGGGGCGGAGCUCACACAGUAAUGCUCUGGCAGGGGGCGGAGCUCACACAGUAAUGCUCUGGCAGGGGGUGGAGCUCACACAGUAAUGCUCUGGCAGGGGGCGGAGCUCACACAGUAAUGCUCACUGGCUGGCUGCUCACCUCCUACUGUGUGGCCUGGUUCCUAACAGGCCAUGGACUGGAACAAUCUGUGGCCUGGGGAUUGGGGACCCCUGAUUUAAAGAAUCGAGGACACACUCACCUAGCAAACCAUCUGCUAAGAAAAAAGGAGGAAAAGCACCAACAUUAAUUUGAACUUAGAAAUAAACUACAAGGCCAGACAUGGUGGUUCACACCUAUAAUUCCAGCACUUCGGGAGGCCAAGGAGGAACGAUCACUUAAGCCCAGCAGUUUGAGACCAGCCUAGGCAACAAAGUGAGACCCUGUCCCUACAAUUACAAAAUAAAUGAGCUGGGCGUGGUGGUGCACACCUGUAGCCCCAGCUACUUAGAAGGCUGAGUCGGGAAGAUCACCUGAGCUGCCCAGGAGUUUGAGGCUGCAGUGAGCUGAGACUGCACCAACCCUGUCUCAAAAAAAAAAAAAAAAAAAAGAAACUGCAACAAAAUAUCUGGAUUUUGAUGUAACAGAAUACAAAGAUAAUUACAUUUGAUUUUUAGGUCAACAAAUAUGACAAGUCAUAACAGGAAAAUAUUUUAAAUGGAUUUGGAAAUAAAAGAAAGUUUGUUCAUUUAUAUUUUAUUUAACAGCUGUGCCCAGUUUUAUCUUGUCACAAGAAUGAAGCAAGGGACAAAGGUAAGUGCCACGCUCCCCGGCCACUGGGUGCCAAU